rnacentral:rRNA from 1 species
UACGUAGGGGGCAAGCGUUGUCCGGAUUUAUUGGGCGUAAAGAGCUCGUAGGCGGUUUGUCGCGUCUGCUGUGAAAUCCCGAGGCUCAACCUCGGGCUUGCAGUGGGUACGGGCAGACUAGAGUGCGGUAGGGGGAGACUGGAAUUCCUGGUGUAGCGGUGGAAUGCGCAGAUAUCAGGAGGAACACCGAUGGCGAAGGCAGGUCUCUGGGCCGCAACUGACGCUGGAGGAGCG